rnacentral:rRNA from 1 species
UACGUAGGAGGCAAGCGUUGUCCGGAAUUACUGGGCGUAAAGCGCGUGUAGGUGGUGGGACAAGUCCGCUGUGAAAGCGCCUGGCUUAACCGGGCGAGGUCGGCGGAAACUGUCCGACUCGAGGACGGUAGAGGGGGGUGGAAUUCCCGGUGUAGUGGUGAAAUGCGUAGAGAUCGGGAGGAACACCUGUGGCGAAGGCGGCCCCCUGGGCCGGCCCUGACACUGAGACGCGAAGGCGUGGGGAGCGAACGGGAUAGCA